UACGUAGGGUCCGAGCGUUGUCCGGAAUUACUGGGCGUAAAGAGCUCGUAGGCGGUUCGUCGCGUCGGCUGUGAAAUCCCGAGGCUCAACCUCGGGUCUGCAGUCGAUACGGGCGGACUGGAGUUCGGCAGGGGAGACUGGAAUUCCUGGUGUAGCGGUGAAAUGCGCAGAUAUCAGGAGGAACACCGGUGGCGAAGGCGGGUCUCUGGGCAUUAACUGACGCUGAGGAGCGAAAGCAUGGGGAGCGAACAGG
rnacentral:rRNA from 1 species